UUAAGUUAAUAAGGGCGCACGGUGGAUGCCUUGGCACUAGGAGCCGACGAAGGACGUGACAAACGACGAUAUACCUUGGGUAGCUGUAAGUAAGCGAUGAUCCAGGGAUUUCCGAAUGGGGGAACCCAACAGGUAAUACCUGUUACCCACAUCUGUUAAGGAUGUGAGGAGGAAGACGCAGUGAACUGAAACAUCUAAGUAGCUGCAGGAAGAGAAAGCAAAAGCGAUUGCCUUAGUAGCGGCGAGCGAAACGGCAGAAGGGCAAACCGAAGAGUUUACUCUUCGGGGUUGUAGGACUGCAAUGUGGACUCAAAGAUUAUAGAAGAAUGAUUUGGGAAGAUCAGCCAAAGAGAGUAAUAGCCUCGUAUUUAAAAUAGUCUUUGUACCUAGCAGUAUCCUGAGUACGGCGGGACACGUGAAAUCCCGUCGGAAUCUGGGAGGACCAUCUCCCAACCCUAAAUACUCCCUAGUGACCGAUAGUGAACCAGUACCGUGAGGGAAAGGUGAAAAGCACCCCGGGAGGGGAGUGAAAUAGAACCUGAAACCGUGUGCCUACAACAAGUUCGAGCCCGUUAAUGGGUGAGAGCGUGCCUUUUGUAGAAUGAACCGGCGAGUUACGUUAUGAUGCGAGGUUAAGUUGAAGAGACGGAGCCGUAGGGAAACCGAGUCUGAACAGGGCGAAUUAGUAUCAUGACGUAGACCCGAAACCAUGUGACCUACCCAUGAGCAGGUUGAAGGUGCGGUAAGACGCACUGGAGGACCGAACCAGGGCACGUUGAAAAGUGCUUGGAUGACUUGUGGGUAGCGGAGAAAUUCCAAACGAACUUGGAGAUAGCUGGUUCUCUCCGAAAUAGCUUUAGGGCUAGCGUCGACAUUAGAGAUUCUUGGAGGUAGAGCACUGUUUGGGUGAGGGGUCCAUCCCGGAUUACCAAUCUCAGAUAAACUCCGAAUGCCAAUGAAUUAUGGUCGGCAGUCAGACUGCGAGUGCUAAGAUCCGUAGUCGAAAGGGAAACAGCCCAGACCACCAGCUAAGGUCCCAAAAUAAUUGUUAAGUGGAAAAGGAUGUGGGGUUGCACAGACAACUAGGAUGUUAGCUUAGAAGCAGCUAUUCAUUCAAAGAGUGCGUAAUAGCUCACUAGUCGAGUGACCCUGCGCCGAAAAUGUACCGGGGCUAAAACAAUUUACCGAAGCUGUGGAUACCUUUAUAGGUAUGGUAGGAGAGCGUUCUAUGUGUGAUGAAGGUAUACCGUGAGGAGUGCUGGAACGCAUAGAAGUGAGAAUGCCGGUAUGAGUAGCGAAAGACAGGUGAGAAUCCUGUCCACCGUAAGACUAAGGUUUCCAGGGGAAGGCUCGUCCGCCCUGGGUUAGUCGGGACCUAAGGAGAGACCGAAAGGUGUAUCCGAUGGACAACAGGUUGAUAUUCCUGUACUAGAGUAUGUAGUGAUGGAGGGACGCAGUAGGCUAACUAAAGCAGACGAUUGGAAGAGUCUGUCUAAGCAGUGAGGUGUGAAUUGAGUCAAAUGCUUAAUUCUAUAACAUUGAGCUGUGAUGGGGAGCGAAGUUUAGUAGCGAAGUUAGUGACGUCACACUGCCAAGAAAAGCUUCUAGCGUUUAAACAUACUCUACCCGUACCGCAAACCGACACAGGUAGUCGAGGCGAGUAGCCUCAGGUGAGCGAGAGAACUCUCGUUAAGGAACUCGGCAAAAUGACCCCGUAACUUCGGGAGAAGGGGUGCUGACUUUAGGUCAGCCGCAGUGAAUAGGCCCAAGCAACUGUUUAUCAAAAACACAGCUCUCUGCUAAAUCGUAAGAUGAUGUAUAGGGGGUGACGCCUGCCCGGUGCUGGAAGGUUAAGAGGAGUGCUUAGCGUAAGCGAAGGUAUGAAUUGAAGCCCCAGUAAACGGCGGCCGUAACUAUAACGGUCCUAAGGUAGCGAAAUUCCUUGUCGGGUAAGUUCCGACCCGCACGAAAGGCGUAAUGAUUUGGGCACUGUCUCAACGAGAGACUCGGUGAAAUUUUAGUACCUGUGAAGAUGCAGGUUACCCGCGACAGGACGGAAAGACCCCAUGGAGCU
rnacentral:rRNA from 1 species